rnacentral:rRNA from 1 species
ACGAGGGGAGCAAGCGUUGUUCGGAAUCAUUGGGCGUAAAGGGCGCGUAGGCGGCCUGCACAAGUCCAGGGUGAAAGCCCUCGGCUCAACCGAGGAAUUGCCUUGGAAACUGUGCGGCUUGAGUAUUGGAGAGGAAGGCGGAGUUCCCAGUGUAGCGAUGAAAUGCGUAGAUAUUGGGAGGAACACCGGUGGCGAAGGCGGCUACCUGGACAGUGACUGACGCUGAGGCGCGAAAGCUAGGGGAGCGAACGGGA